rnacentral:lncRNA from 10 species
ACAGUGAGUCUCAGAACCCCGCGGAAGCUGUGGCUCAUUUCUAAAGGUGCUGGCAAUAUCGAGGAAGACUUGUAUCCACAAAAUUCCAAAUGGAAAAGAGAGAAAAGAGAACAACAAACAGAUGUGUGAAAAAAAGACACGAAGUACAAAACGGAUGUAUUAAUGGCAAAUAGAGUAAACUUGAAGCCUGAAAUUGCAGCACUCAUUUGGUGACCAGGAGUGGGCAAACAGAAGGACAAAGGCCUACAAGAUUAAAUAAUCAAGUCAUUAUUGUGAAUUUGGAUCUAAAUGACCUGGCAGAAACCAUGGAGAUGAUCUUGGAUUUAAAGAGGAAAAACUCAAAGCAAUGUAUUCUGAUCAAGAAAUGGCAGGAAAUGGCAGCUACCUGAUAUGGAACAAUCAACAACUGAAGGUUUAUUUUGAAUGAGAGGUGUUGUCCAACUGCGAGACGGAGUGAUUGAAGCUGAGAAUAAAUGGAAACACAAUCAAUAGUCACUCCAGUGAGGUAGGAAAGAAAGCCAUUCCGAAGUGGCAGAGAAGCUGCUUUUUCCUCCUGCAUGCUGCCUGCUAGUGUGGAUCUUGGCAUAACAGACACUACUUGGCAAAAGAUCCAUCCUUCCUUUUCCUAUACUUUGCUCAGCGGCCUGGAAGAUUGACCUCAAAAGCAAAAUCACCUGGAUUUCCUUGCCAUUUGGCUUUCAAAUGUGCUCAGCCAAUGACAGGCUGGAAAGAAAUUGACAGCUGGGAAAAGAGGAAGAUUUGUGUACAAGAUCCCUUCCACUCCCAUCUCAUUACCUGCCAUGGUCCUAGCAGUGGCUGUUCUUAUUAUGGCCACAACUACUCUUGGACAGGCCAACAUCCACAACUCCAUCCUUCAACUAGGCUUCAUUAACACUGUCCCUCACCCUUAUCUCUUUCUGGGUAGGGGUGAUAAAGGUUUCCUGACAUCAGAGUUCCUGAGUGCCUCAUAUAUUCUUGUUGGUCCCUGAACCUUGCCCCAACAUCAAUAAAAAGUUCC